GACAGAGGUCCCGAGCGUUAUGCGGAAUCACUGGGCUUAAAGCGUGUGUAGGCGGAGUGCUAAGUACCUUGUGAAAUCCCACGGCUCAACCGUGGAACUGCUUGGUAUACUGGUUCUCUUGAGCCACCUAGGGGCAACCGGAACAAACGGUGGAGCGGUGAAAUGCGUAGAUAUCGUUUGGAACGCCAAUGGUGAAAACAGGUUGCUGGGGGUGUGCUGACGAUGAGACACGAAAGCCAGGGGAGCAAACGGG
rnacentral:rRNA from 1 species